rnacentral:misc_RNA from 1 species
AAAGUCGUAACAAGGUCUCCGUUGGUGAACCAGCGGAGGGAUCAUUACUGAGUUUACAACUCCCAACCCAUGUGAACAUACCUUUUGUUGCUUCGGCGGGAUGCCCCCGGCGCCUAGUGUGCCCGGGAAUCAGGCCCCCGCCGGAGGACCCAAACUCUGAAUCUACAGUGGAUCUUCUGAGUGGCAUAAGCAAAUAAAUCAAAACUUUCAGCAACGGAUCUCUUGGUUCUG